UACGUAGGGCGCAAGCGUUGUCCGGAAUUAUUGGGCGUAAAGAGCUCGUAGGCGGUUUGUCGCGUCUGCUGUGAAAUCCCGAGGCUCAACCUCGGGCUUGCAGUGGGUACGGGCAGACUGGAGUGCGGUAGGGGAGAUCGGAAUUCCUGGUGUAGCGGUGAAAUGCGCAGAUAUCAGGAGGAACACCGGUGGCGAAGGCGGAUCUCUGGGCCGUAACUGACGCUGAGGAGCGAAAGCAUGGGGAGCGAACAGG
rnacentral:rRNA from 1 species